AGAGAGAUAGAAAGAAAAAACGAAAGAAAAGAGAACAAGUCAUCUCACAAACACACAUAAAAUACAUAUUUACAACACGCAUUUAUCACUUCUUUUUCUUCUUACC
rnacentral:ribozyme from 14 species